UCCAGUUGGAACGUUGCUUGGCACCACCACAUGCCCCCGUCUGCUGUUGAGACGGGCACGGACCGGUCGAGAUGGUCUGUGGGCACGGGACAACACUGAGCGGACGGCUACCCUGCGAGCACUCUGUGCUUUGGGGUGUUCUCCGUCGAUGGUGCUUGGUAUACUGACUCGUUGCUGAGCAAAGUGAUAAUAAAAGCCUGAGGUUUGGCUGCGAGGCAAUUGAGUUGGUGGCGGACCGCCUCGCUGGUGGGUUUGCUGUACCGUCGAAGGGAGCACGCUCGUUGGGUAACCCAACGGCUGUGCUGGUGUCUGUGCGUCGUUGAGCGGUUGUUGUGCCUGGCACAUGUGACACACUGGCCUGGGAAGGUGGUUCUUUCCUGGCCUUACGAACCGUAACUAGCGGUGUGUCUGUGCUUGUGUGCUACGUCCGUGGCCGUGAUGAGACGACGUGGUAGGGUCCGUGCUCUGCUUAUAGCACGUGGCUUAAGACUUAAUGAGUGUCAGCUAGGCACCGCCAGUGUUUUUUUUCAUUUAUUUUUUUGACCACUUCUUUGUUGAAGGAAGAAAUUCUAGUCUUAUCGGUGGAUCACUCGGCUCGUGGAUCGAUGAAGAACGCAGCCAACUGCGAUAAUUAGUGCGAACUGCAGAAACCUUGAACACAAAACUUUCGAAUGCACAUUGCGCCAUUGGAGUUACAUCCAUUGGCACGCCUGGUUCAGGGUCGUUAUCAUAAAAGGCACUGCUGUGCCUGUUAUGUUGGUGAGAUCAUGUCUGCAGGACGUGUUCUUGCGCUAUUCUUGAAAAUGCUCGGCCGUGGAGUGUGGUUGUGUUGGCGCGAAACUGUCAGGUUCUUUCGCGUUUUACGGUCCGUAACUAGGGCGCAACUGCUCUCCAUGUGUGCUGGGUGGAAUGCUUCGCUGGUAGGCAUUCCGUGUUUGAAUUUUCGACCUGAACUCAGACGUGAGUACCCGCUGAACUUAAGCAUAU
rnacentral:rRNA from 1 species